AGACGUGUCUACAAGCGCGCCUCUACAAAAGCCGGAGAGUGGAGCCAACUACCAUUGAAGAAACCGAUAAAGUUGCCUGGCCAGUUUACUUCAAAACUAUUUUAUCACGCCAUUUAGUAUCUAGUGGUUUUAGAGUAUGUAAGAAUAAACAAUAUUGAUGUAGGUGCUAUAGCUAGGUAAAUAAUUAAACACGUGGAGUUGCAAACAGUUAUUACCUGACGGAAGCUGACGACAAACAUCAGCGGCUGGUUCGUUGGCCAUGGCGGACCCAGAGAAGCCCCGCUCGGGCAAGUCCUCGGGCAAGUCCAAGCGCUCAAGCUCUGGUAAGAGCAAAAAGGCCAAGAACCAGAGCAUCACGCCUGCUCCUGGGGAGAGCCUGCCUGAAGACAAGGAGACGCAGCCUGGAGAGGAGAUUCAAGAGGAAAGCAGCCAAGGAACGGCUGUGACCAUAGAAGAAGUGGACACGUACACCGUGGGCCUGGUAAAUCCAUCAUGAUACUGUAUCCCCCUAUAGCGAAUGUCCUGUCAACAGUAAU
ensembl:lncRNA